rnacentral:SRP_RNA from 1 species
ACUGGGUGCAGUGGCAUGUGCCUAUAGUCCCAGCUACUCAGGAGGCUGAGGUGGGAGGAUCACUUGAGCCCAGGAGUUCUGGGCUGUAGUGCGCUAUGCUGAUUGGGUGUCUGCACUAAGUUUGGCAUCCAUCUGGUGACCUCCUGGGAGUGGCGGGGGGACCACCAGGUUGCCUAAGGAGGGGUGAACUGUCCCAGGUCAGAAACAGAGCAGGUCAAAACUCCCAUGCUGAUCAGUAAUGGGAUUGUGCCUGUGAAAAGCCACUGCAUUCCAACCUGGGCAACAUAGUGAGACCCCAUCUCA